rnacentral:misc_RNA from 1 species
AAGGAGUCUAACAUGCUUGCGAGUAUUUGGGUGUCAAACCCGGAUGCGUAAUGAAAGUGAAUGGAGGUGGGAAGCGCAAGCUGCACCAUCGACCGAUCUGGAUUUUCUAAGAUGGAUUUGAGUAAGAGCACGUAUGUUGGGACCCGAAAGAUGGUGAACUAUGCCUGAAUAGGGCGAAGCCAGAGGAAACUCUGGUGGAGGCUCGUAGCGGUUAUGACGUGCAAAUCGAUCGUCAAAUUUGGGUAUAGGGGCGAAAGACUAAUCGAACCAUCUAGUAGCUGGUUCCUGC